ensembl:lncRNA
CAAUGAACUGCAGCACUGUAGAAGAGCACUGCAUAUAGUAUCUGGCAGUUUAGGACUACUGCUCUGCACAGUUACACUGUUCUCAAACUUUCCUUUCAUCAGCUCUCUGCAGCUCCUCAGGUCACCCAGCGAAGCAUGAGCUGCUAUCUGGCAUCAUAUCCUGUAUCUCCACACCAGCAAUACAUUUAUUCUCCCUCCCACAUCUGGUAUCUUACACUGGCAGUAACUUGUCUGUAAAUGGCAGUGGGAAGGGACAUGCACAAAGCACUUGUAUCCUAUUUUGUCUUUUAGAUUUUCCCUGGUCUGCUUUGAGCAGCUAUGGCUGGCCAUACCAUCGUGCUCCAGUAAGAUCAUGCAGACACUUAAAAAAAGGACUGGAUUUGCACCUUACUUUUUGAUGAGCACAAUGCCUUCCUCAAAGCAGCAGGCGGCUGGAACCACUUACGCAACUUCACUUUCCUGCUCCUGGUCAAGACAGAACGUCAGUUCUCCAGAGCUGCAACUAAAUCAUACAAUCAUUAAGGUUGGAAAAGACCUUUAAGAUCACCUAGCCCAACCGUUCACCCACCACCAAUAUUUCCCCACUAAACCAUGUCCAUUAGUACAAUAUCUACAUGUUUCUUGAACCCCUCCAGGGACGGUGACCCAGCCACCCCCCUGAGCAGCCUGUUCCAGUGCCUGACCACUCCUUCAGAGAAGAAAUUUCUCCUAAAAUCCAAUCUGAACCUCCCCUGGUGCAACUUGAGGCAAUUUCCUUUCAUCCUAUCAUUGUCACGCAGGAGAAGAGGCCAACCCCCACCUCACCACAACCUCCUCUCAGGCAACUGCAGAGAGCUAUAACGUCUCCCCUGAGCCUCCAGCUCUCCAGACUGAAUAAUUCCAGUUCCCUCAGCCACUCCUCAUAAGAAUGUUUAGAAACUAUGUAUUCUGUUACCACAGUGAAUAAUAAUAGGUAAUUAUUAUUAAUAAUGAUGGUUAAGACAAUAAUAAUAUUAAUUGCACUAAAAUAAAAUGUUGGAAAUUACAUCUUUAUCCUAAAAAAAAAGAAAAAAAAAAGAAAAAGAAAUUAGUAUUAGUAUUAGUAUUAGUAUCUUGUAGAUUCAGCAUUGUGAGGAUGAACUAGUUUUCAUUCUGAUUUGGCACUGAGAUUCCCAGAUUUUAUACAUCAUGAAAUCAGUAGUAUGUGAGAUUCACUGCUGCACAUGAAAUAUCAAAAGGAACUUGAAAGGUUAGCAGAGGAAUUGCUUUUAUUUUGCAGGCAAAACAUGGCUCCUGUACCUAUCAGCCAACCAGAUCAGUUAAUCAAAAUGCCAAAUGGUCUUCAUUUGCAUGUAACUUUUGAACCUUUCUUAAAAUAAAAUACAAUUACGCUGC